AGGGAUGCAGACCCAGGGUGUGGAUCUCCGCAUUACCACCGGUGGCCAUGUGUGGCAGUGUGCUGUAGACUUGGACCACCGAGUUGCUGUGGCUGGCGGGGACGUGCGAAGAGGGCAAACUGGGCUGGCCUGCAGGCGCCUGCAUGGCCGCCAUAGGCUGGUCAAUGGACGUGAAGGCUGAGAUGGCCGACAUGAGGACGUCGUCACUGACCAGCACGUUGCCUUGGACCAGAGUGUGUGUCAGAGGGGACGGAGGGACGGUGAUCACAGCUCGCCACUCACCUGCCUGUUGGCGUUGGUUGGCUGGCCGGAGGUGAUGGAGGACACGGGCGUGUAGGCGUUGGUGGAGGCCAAGGACACGCUGGAGAGGGAGGGGGCGCCGGACUGGCACGGCUCCCUCUUGUGCGCCAUGAACACCGGCAGGGAGUUGAACUGUUUCUUACAUUUGCCGCACAAGAACACGUCCUCGUCGUCUAACGGGAGAAACAAGCAAUGCAGUCUGUAAAGCGGGCGUUAACAAUACAAUCGAUUAGGCUGGAAUUGGAAAAAAAUUAAAAAAUGUAACAGAAUUAAAGGGGAAUAAUGCCAAUAUAGGUCAUAUUUCAAAUACAAUAAUACAACUAAAUGCAUCCCUCCAAAUAAAUGCAUUAUUGUGGAGUCCUUGUACUCUCUGCAGUUGAGUAAAAAAAUAUAUUAGUACUGUUUUUUUUUCCAUUGUGAUAACAUGCAAUCGUGCAAAAAAGAAAC